GGACCUUUGACCCAAGCCCCGUUCGUUUUCAAAGAAGGAGGGCACUUACCCGAAAUUUGCAUUCGCGUGGCGGUGCAGGGCCCUUCCCUUUAAGCGAAGCUCCACCCGAAAUUGCCAGGUGAAUUUGGUAGAUUUGGGACCCUAAGUUGGAAACCGAGAUAUGAAAGUGUGCUCCAAUCAAUCUUUACUUUUCACAGAGGACACCUAUUUGGGGUAAGAAAAGCAGGGCGAAUUAAUGAAGAGUUGGCUCUGGGGGAAGGGCUGGAGGACAAAAGAGGAAGAAGGUUAGAUGGACAUUCCGUUUCCACUCGAAAUGUCCCAUCGUGGGGUACAAUUUGUGUCGCUUAUUGGAGUAUGAGGUUGAUGGUGCGUGCCAAACAUGAUCUCAACGUGAAAAAGACGACAGGUACGUUACAAGAAAUUCACAGACCCUUGAACCCCGUCAACGAAUCCCCAGUUAAUCAUUUCUACUUGUAGAGAAGAGAAAAUGCAACAACCCCGAGGAAGACAAUUUCAAAGAAAGGAGAAGAAAAAUAUGACUCCUUAAGAGGGCCAUACGGGAUUGGACUUGGAGGAAGUGUCCAAUAUUUCCAGUCCAGGACUGCUUUCAUUGAGUGAGAAGUUGCCAGUUCAGCUCAUGAAAGCAUCUUUUCUGCCAGCCCCUGAGGGUGCCAGUGGUCCAUGACCUGCAAACCGUAGACUUGCUUCCAUGGUGCCGCCCUUUGGAACCCCAGCCCAGGACUUAGCGGAGGAGCUCAGCAGCUUCCAACCCUGGUUGUAAAUUCCAGCCACGCAUGCCCUGACUUACUCAUCUCCACAUGCCUCCUGACUACAGCAUCGUGCCCUGGGAGGAGCGGAAUAAAAUGUCUGCAAAAGGAAUUUCAUAGAAACAUGACCGAGAAUGUACAGCCUCUUUCAGUUCUGAUCAUGAAUCGUCGGGGGUAGCAAAAGACCUUUCUGUAGCUGGGAGAGUUUUGAAAAUCUGUUCUCAAGUUCUUAGAGCAGGGGACGCAUCAUCUUCUGAAAAAGGAUUUAAAGGAAAGGAGACGGUGGGUUUUGAUGGAGUCGUCUGGGGAUAUACACAUGACGGAAAGGCAAGAGUUGAUGUGGUAAAGCCAGAAGUCCCUGUGUUGCUUCAUCCUUAGCUGUCCCCUUUCCCUGUUAUCCCUCAAGUUUCCAGUCUAAGCUAAUCUUUUGGGGGGAAUCUUUUUAGCCUUGUUAAUCAGGAGAGAGGAAACGUGAAGCAGAGAGAGAAAUUUACAGGAAGAGAUGUGACAUUCUGAAAAAUGUGUGUGUGCUUUGAAAUAUAUUCAAAUACGGAUAUUCAAAUACGGAUUUGCCUUUUCUGACUGGGAGUAUCUAGGUUGUGUUGAAGGAAGAUUAAGAGUGUCAGAGCAGGGAUGCAAAGAGAAAGAUUCAACGUCCAGCCUUUGACAUCUAGAAGAGGACUUCUGGGUCUGCAGAAAAGCAUUUGUUUGAAAGUCAAGCUUUGUGGCGAGAGAAUUUCUUUAGCACCUGUCAAGAGCUGUCCUGUGGACCAGAUCAUAAAAAAAAAAGGCAGGGAUAAAGAGAAGUAAGUGUAUGACAGAGGGUAGGUGGCAUGUGUGAAUGAGGAGAGAAAAUGAGGGAACGUAGUCAGGAAGACCCAGGUGUCCUAACCACCCCUCUUGGGCCAAUGUCCAAAGUCAAGGUCAGUUGGUAGAGGCAACAGCAAAGGGCUUUGUGCCCUGAACCUCUGGAUCCCUGGGGGGUUGGUAACAUCCACUGGUUGGCACAUGGACCAUGGCACAUUCCUGAAGGAGAAGUUGUCAUGACAGAUGGGCCCAGUGUAGCCCCCAGAUCUCCACAGCCCACAGGAAGUUUAUGGAGAGCCAGAGAUCUCCAAGAGGCCCACUGAAGAAAUUCAGAGAUUUGGGGAGAACUACCCGAGCUUGAGAGUAAGGACAAAUGGCCAGCACUCUGGAACCUGGUGGCAGAUGACAGAAUGCUGUCCCCAGGGGGCAGGUCAAUGAGCCUGUUGAGCCUCCAGAGUUACCAGUGUAGGGCACAGAGCAGAGCUUCACUGUGAUUAAGGACUGGUCCCUAGAAGAAAAGUGAGAGACCAGCUAGAGGAGAAGAGCUGCCCUUGGCCAAGUCAUUCCCUCUUUGAAUUCAUAUGGGAUGUAUUAGUCCUUUGGGGUAAAUAGUACUUUUAUUCUGUGGCUGAAGAAGCUGUCGCUUCAGAAGUUGAGAGUCAUUUACCCAAAUGCAUCUACGAGCCAGCAGCCUCAGGGCACAAUUCAACCCUCAGCUCCAAUGGUUCAUCUAGGAGCUUACUAUCACUCUUGGCUCCGUGGAAGGUUCUUAUCUGUAUCCAGUUUCUACCCUGAGAUGUCUUGCUUUGUUGUGAAAGAGGCCCAGAAUUCUUCCAAGAUACAUACUCCCAAGAGAUAAAAUGCAAUGUGGCCUGGUACUGUGGUAAUGACUCAAUCACUGACCUUUUAAUAAAAAUGCUACUGUGUUCCUAAAUGGAAAACGCCACACAGGAUGAGACUGGCAUUUGGGGAAACCCCUGAUGAGUUGUCUCAGUUGAUUCUAUGACUCAUUUAUUUGGCGCUUCUUGGAUUUAUAGUUUAUACUCCAAACUAAAGAGGAAAUAGUUAAACAUAGUCGAAUGGAAUGUUCCCACGUCAUGCAUUUUCCAUUUUUCUCUCUGUUUUGCAUAUACUCAAUAGGUCUGUGAUAAAGACCUAUUUCAGUACCUAUAGUUUUCUCAUUAACUAAUCAGAGCAGAAAAGCCAUUGCUUCAUCAAGAUUUUGCCAUAUUUUACAGUUCAAGUGUUUCUUGGGAGUUAAAAAAUAUAUAUACAUUUGUCCCCAGACAUAACCAACAAAGGAAGGCAUGGCAAAGGAGUCAAUGCUUGGCCUGAAGAGGAAGUGCACAUGGUCUGACUGAGGCCAGGGAAGCUUAGAGAACCAGGUAGCUAUAGCCCACCAUAGGCCAGUUCACGGACCGCCUGCUCCCCAUCUCCUCUCUACCAGCAUUUCGCCAGCAAAUUUAACUGCAAAACACAUAAGCCCAGAAGUGGAGGGAGGUGUAUGUUGACUGUAACGAGUCUGAUUAAAUGCCACUUCUUUUAUUCUGUUGGGAGACAAAAUGGCUGCCGACUUCAUCUGUUUAAAUUGAACUUUAAAUGUCAUUGGUGUCCUAUGUAUUUUGCUUAAAAAUGAGGCUAAGGGUUACUGUGGGGAAUUAUUCCGAGGCUUACAUAAGUCAGACGUAGGGGUUCUGGAAUAUCUUGACCCCUAUUAAAAGAUAAUAAACUUGACAUAAAUAAUU